ensembl:lncRNA
UCGUCCAUACUUCGAAGCUCUACUCUUCAGGAAUCAAUAAAUACCUGUUAGAUUCAAAUCUGAUAAUCAAUGUGUUUAUGUUUCUCAGCCAAAGACACUGGAGCCAGAAGCGGUGCUUUUAAGGAAGAAAAACAUGACCUCUGUGCUGGCAGUGAGAGAGAAGUCCUGGAUGGUUUUCUUCAUUGGGACGUCAGAUGGACAGCUCAUUAAGCUUGCUGUGGACAAGAACUAUCACACCACCUGUCCCAGGGUGCUCUACAGGGCCGAUGUCGACCGCAAAAUAUUUCCCAAGAUGCAACUGGAUCAAGCGGAUCAUAAACAUGUGUACGUGCCAUUCAAAAACCAAGUAGGUGCAUUGUACAUCGAUCACGUGUAAGGCGAACACUGUAAAUAAAAUACUUUUUCAUACCACAAUGUCAUAUGUACAUAUGGUGUAAAAAAAGUUGAUAUGUUUUUUGUGUCGUUCUAGAUCAAGCGUGUGCCUGUGUCGCAGUGCGGCACAUAUCUAAAUGUGCAGGACUGUUGGUCUGCACAGGAUCCAUACUGUGUCUGGUGCGGCUCUACAAGGUUAGGGAACUAACAUCUGAAGUUGAGUCCUUUAAAAAAAAAAAACACAUGCUCUUAAUUAAAAUACAAUUUUCUCUUCCUAGUUGCACAUUUGAAGAUGACUGCCAAGGUUCAGACUGGUUAUCCAUCGCUGAUGAUUUUCAACAGGAAAUGGUUUCCUACAAAGUUUUAAAGAACAGCACUGGCCAGGUACAUAUUACGAUGAACAAACUUUAAACUCUAAUGAGCUGUGAGCUUAUUUCUCUUUUAAACACAACACAUCCUUCCUUUCUCAGGUCACACUUAGCAUCCAGACACACCUGACUGUGGGCGAGGAGGCGCUGUCUAACUUCGCCUGUCAUUUCUCCACAAGUUCCAGCGAGCUUUGUAGCAGGGAAAGCCCUCGUUCACUGUUUCCAGAAUGCACCUGCAUCCUUUCAAAUAGCAUACUUCCUGCUGAAGGUCAGGACUAAUCCGGGGAAAUAAACACUACGAUUAAUGACAUCCUAUAGGAUGAAGAAGUUGACAAGUCUGUGUCUGUCUCACGUUAUAUUUUGUUACAUCACUUACAAAUGUGUGUGGAAAAUAUGAUCAUGACUCUGACAUUCACUGUGUUACAUUCACUCGACAGGCCUGCGUGUUGUACUGAAGCUUAGACUUGGGACGACACACUUGUCCAAGGAACUGAAGCUAUCAAACUGCUCUGACAUCAAGGGAGAGCCAACUUCUGUCCUGUAAGUACACAACAUUACAUUACAGUUCAUUUAGCUGAUGCUUUUGUCCAAAACGCAAACAAUCAUGAGGAUACAACUCCGAACAGCAAGAAUCUUGCAAGAACAUCAGCUUCAAAUAGGUACAAUUCUUUAAGUGCAGAACAAUUCGUCAAUUAGUCUUCGUGUUGUGUCAAGUAAUUAUGAUUCAUAUUGAAGUCAACCAGGUGAUAACAUCUGUUUUCUCUACAGGUGUCGGCAGUGUAUCAAGACUGGAUGUGGCUGGAGCACAAGUGGCUGUUCCUUUGCAAAUCAAGGGGUGGGAAAUGUAAGUAUGCAUGUUUUUGGUCUUACUCUAACACAGGCGUUUCCAAGUGCUACAUUUUUAACAUCUAUGCAACUACACUU